ensembl:lncRNA
AUUUUUUUAGAUUAUUUUUAUUUUAUUUAUUUUCAAAUGAAUUAUUAAAUUCUAUCUCUGGGAUAUAUUCAUACAUAGUAAUAAUUUUGUUAGCGUGGCUGUCUUUCAUAAUCUAGCAGAAAGUGUGCUUGAGUGUGAAAGAAAACAAGAGGGGAAAAAACAGGGAGAGGGAGAAUAAAGGAGCCUUGGCAUUUUUAUUGCACUUGUACAUUUGAGGAUCCAACUAAUUAAGCAAAUAAAUCUUGGAGUCAGUUUACACUGCCGGCAAUUUGAGCUUCUCUGCGUCCAUUGAUCGCCGCUCUUCGCCUGGCUGAGCAUCACUGACCUGGAGAGAGUGAAACUGAGAUAUUGCACAUGUAAGAAUCUCUCAGAGGGGUGUGCUUGACAUAGAGCCAUGCCAUCGGUUUCAACGCCCAAAGGGUCACGGUAGAGCCAUAAACAAGAUUUAAAAACUUUGAACAUCAAGCAAUUUGAUGUCCUUCCACUUUACAAGGUUGUUGUGUGAUCAUGAAACAGUGGCUAGCAAGGAAAACGGUCUUCAGAAUAACCCUACACAGGUCUCAAUGGAUUCUCUUUGUUCCACCAGUCUAAGGGACAAAAGGACCUCUGGGCUUGCUGUCUGUCCCGAGUCAUGGAGAGCUCAAUCAUGCGCCCUGCAGGACCCCACACACUGUGUGAUGGAUGCAAUGGCCUCGAGGGAGAUUUAAAGGGUCUUCAUAUACUCUGACUCAGCAGGGGACAGCAAGACAUUUCCCGUAAUCCUGUCUGUACUUUAUAUUCUUGAUACAGCUGUAAAGAGCAUCCAUCUAUCUAUCUAUCUAUCUAUCUAUCUAUCUAUCUAUCUAUCUAUCUAUCUAUCUAUCUAUCUAUCUAUCUAUCUAAAUAUACAUAUAUGCAUAUCAGUUUAUAUAAGUUCCUUUUUUUUCUGUAAUUUGAAUAUCUUUUGAAAUUAUCUACAUAUAACUAUGUAUCGAUCUAUCUUGCUCAAAAUACCUGUUUAGUGAAAGAAGGGUCUAAUGUAACAAGCACACAGAUUUUAGAGCUCAGUCUAACAUUUAUAACACAUACCUUGCAGAAAAAAAAAAAAAAUUACUGUCCAGUCCACUAUUAGACCUGGAGGUUAUU